UUCUCUAAGAAACUAACCUAGAGUAAAACCUGCUCAAUGAAUAAUUAAAUAGCCGCAGCUCAUCUGUGCUAAGGUAGCAUAAUAACUAGCUUCCUAAUUAGAAGAUAGAAUGAAUGGUUAAACAAGAAUGACCUGUCUCACUAUUAAAAAUUAAUCUUAUAUAUUAGUUAAAAAGCUAAUAAAAACAUGAAGGACGACAAGACCCUGAUAAACUUAUCAUUUAGUUGGGGCAACAAUACAAAAACACCUUAUAUAUCAAACAAAACAAUCACAGAAAUACUAGAAUAGUUACUACAGGGAUAACAGCGCUAUUCUCUCCAAGAGCCCUCAUCAAAAAGAGACAUUACGACCUCGAUGUUGAAUUAAUUUACCUUUCAAAGCGCAAAAGCUUGAUAAGUUAGGUCUGUUCGACCAGAAUAAAAUU
rnacentral:rRNA from 1 species